GUGCUCCUUCCCCAGCACCAUGUCCCAUCAUGAUGAGAAUGAACUAAACCUCUUACCUGUACAAAGGGAAGAGCUAAAGCAUUCUGCAGGGGAACUGAGAUGGAAGAGGUUAUUUGAGCUCUAACUGAGAAGAUGCUUUGGAACUGCUGAUGAAAAGUAUAAGUUACCAAGGCCUAAUUUGAAUGUGCAUGGGUAUAAUUUACAUAUUAAAACACUCAAAUAAAAGUUUAAAUUAAAAACACAA